rnacentral:sRNA from 1 species
UUCACGGAACACUACCGGUUACUUUAUAUUAGUGAUUUGUGUUCUAGAAUGGUUCGAUAAUAAU